rnacentral:rRNA from 1 species
AGCCUUUGACAUCCCGAUCGCGGAUUAGAGAGAUCUUUUCCUUCAGUUCGGCUGGAUCGGUGACAGGUGCUGCAUGGCUGUCGUCAGCUCGUGUCGUGAGAUGUUGGGUUAAGUCCCGCAACGAGCGCAACCCUCGUCCUUAGUUGCCAUCAUUUAGUUGGGCACUUUAAGGAAACUGCCGGUGAUAAGCCGGAGGAAGGUGGGGAUGACGUCAAGUCCUCAUGGCCCUUACAGGCUGGGCUACACACGUGCUACAAUGGCGAUGACAGUGGGCAGCAAACUCGCAAGGGUGAGCUAAUCUCCAAAAGUCGUCUCAGUUCGGAUUGCACUCUGCAACUCGAGUGCAUGAAGGCGGAAUCGCUAGUAAUCGCGGAUCAGCAUGCCGCGGUGAAUACGUUCCCAGGCC